rnacentral:rRNA from 1 species
GAAAACGCCCUUAUAACCCCUCUNAAGGGACAAGGAGCUGGUAUCAGGCACNAAAAAUUAGCCCAAGACACCUAGCUAUGCCACACCCACACGGGAAUUNCAGCAGUGAUAAACAUUGAAAAUAAGCGACNAGCUUGAAUCAGCUNAAAGGAAAAAGAGCCNGGCAAAUCUGGUGCCAGCCGCCGCGGUUACACCACGUGGCUCAAACUGANCCUCUUUCGGCGUAAAGCGUGAUUUUAAGAUUAACUAAUAACUGCAAUCAAACUGGGAUUAGGCUGUGACACGCUUAUNCCUCAAGAAGCCCAAAANACGAAAGUCAUUGCANACUAAAACAACUUGAACUCACGACAGCUAAGAAAACAAACUGGGAUUAGAUACCCCACUAUGCCUAGCAGUAAACUUUUAUUUACACCCUCAUNNNNNNCGCCCGGGAACUACGAGCAAAGCUUAAAACCCAAAGGACUUGACGGUACCCCAUAUCCACCUAGAGGAGCCUGUCCUACAAUCGAUAACCCUCGCUUAACCUCACCAUCUUUAGCUACUCAGCCUGUAUACCUCCGUCGUCAGCUUACCUCGUGAGCGCCAANUUAGUGAGCUAAAUGCCCNNNNNNNNCAGCGCCAAUACGUCAGGUCAAGGUGCAGCAUAUAAGAUGGGAAGAGAUGGGCUACACUAUCUAAAUUAGAUUACACGAAAGACUACCUAUGAAANCCUAGUCAGAAGGCGGAUUUAGAAGUAAAAGAAGAUCAAAAUGCCCUCUUUAACCUNGGCACUGGGGUGUGUACACACCGCCCGUCANCCCUCUUNCAAAGCUUAAACACANGUUUUU